CAGACACUGCACUCCACAUCACAGAGGAAAGCUGAAUGCCAGUCGGGGCCUGUCCUCGUCCCUGCGGCUCAGUGAAGAUCCACUAUACUGCAUGUGCCUGCAGAGCCUCCCAGCUCAGUGUCCAGAUCCAACAUCACAAGUCAACCUUCUCCACUGACAUGGUCAUCGUCACUGCCCACCGCUCAGCAAACACCACAUCUAGCUGAUGCCGAAUGCCUCCUCCCCCUUUGCCCCACUUCCAGGAGGAUCAAGGACUCUGUUGGUGACUAGCUUUGAUUUUCCUCAGGACACGAAAGGCUUCAGUUCCUGAUGCUACUCCAGGACAUCCAUAUUAGAAGGAGGGGAGGGAAACAGAGAGGCUGUUGCUCAGUGCCACUGACAAUGUUGGAAGAAGGAGACUGAGGUGACUUUCUUGGGGACACACAAGCAGAGGAAGAUGAGAAAGAGGGACUACUGCAGGGUCCGCUCAGAAGAACAGAGAAAUCAGUCCUUGACUAAUGAGAGCCUUUCUCCUUAUGAAGGAAGAAGAUCCUUGUGCAUGGGGAUCACAGUGAACAUGAGGUAGGAGCAAACGAUGAGAUCACCUCAGACACGGAGGAACCCUUUGGACAUGGAGGAUCACCUCAGAUAUGGAGGCUUACCAUACACAUUGAGGAUUACCUCAAACAUAGAUUAUCACCUCAGAUAUGGAGGCUCACAUUUCACUUGGAGGAUCACCUCAGAUAUUAUUACCUCACACAUGCAAGAUCACCUCAGAUAUGCUUUGGACACCCAAUGUAUGCUAGCUUCACCACUGUAACAAAUACAUGAGAUAAUCAGUUUAUAAAAAGUUAAUUUUGGCUCAUA